rnacentral:rRNA from 1 species
CACGUAGUUAGCCGGGGCUUCUUAGUCAGGUACCGUCAUUUUCUUCCCUGCUGAUAGAGCUUUACAUACCGAGAUACUUCUUCACUCACGCGGCGUCGCUGCAUCAGGGUUUCCCCCAUUGUGCAAUAUUCCCCACUGCUGCCUCCCGUAGGAGUUUGGGCCGUGUCUCAGUCCCAAUGUGGCCGUCCGCCUCUCAGGCCGGCUACCGAUCGUCGCUUUGGUGGGCCGUUACCCCGCCAACUGGCUAAUCGGACGCGGAUCCAUCGUAUGCCGAUAAAUCUUUUCACACAGUACCAUGCGGUAUUGUGCGCUUAUGCGGUAUUAGCAGCUGUUCCAACUGUUAUCCCCCUGCAUACGGCAGGUUAUCCACGCGUUACUCCGACCCGUCCGCCACUAACUCGGAAAUCACUAGUUUCAAUCCGAGUCCGUUCGACUUGCAUGUGUUACGGCUACGCCG